rnacentral:rRNA from 1 species
UACGAAGGGUGCAAGCGUUACUCGGAAUUACUGGGCGUAAAGGGUGCGUAGGUGGUCGUUUAAGUCCGUUGUGAAAGCCCCGGGCUCAACCUGGGAAUGGCAAUGGAUACUGGCAGGCUAGAGUGCGGUAGAGGGUAGUGGAAUUCCCGGUGUAGCGGUGAAAUGCGUAGAGAAUCGGGAGGAACACCAGUGGCGAAGGCGGCUACCUGGACCAGCACUGACACUGAGGCACGAAAGCGUGGGGAGCAAACAGG